GGACUCGUAGCUCAGUUGGUUAGAGCAGCGGCCUCAUAAGCCGAAGGUCACAAGUUCGAUUCUUGUCCGGUCCA
rnacentral:tRNA from 1 species